rnacentral:rRNA from 1 species
AGGCUUUGAUCCUGGCUCAGGAUGAACGCUGGCGGUAUGCUUAACACAUGCAAGUCGAACGGUCUCUUCGGAGAUAGUGGCGGACGGGUGAGUAACGCGUGAGAAUCUGGCUCUAGGUCUGGGACAACAGAUGGAAACGUCUGCUAAUACCGGAUGUGCCGAGAGGUGAGAGGCUAGCUGCCUGGAGAUGAGCUCGCGUCAGAUUAGCUAGUAGGUGGGGUAAAGGCCUACCUAGGCGACGAUCUGUAGCUGGUCUGAGAGGACGAUCAGCCACACUGGGACUGAGACACGGCCCAGACUCCUACGGGAGGCAGCAGUGGGGAAUUUUCCGCAAUGGGCGAAAGCCUGACGGAGCAAUACCGCGUGAGGGAGGAAGGCUCUUGGGUUGUAAACCUCUUUUCUCAAGGAAUAAGAAUGAAGGUACUUGAGGAAUAAGCAUCGGCUACUCC